rnacentral:misc_RNA from 1 species
UUUCCGUAGGUGAACCUGCGGAGGGAUCAUUACUGAGUGAGGGCCUUCGGGCUCGACCUCCAACCCUUUGUGAACACAACUUGUUGCUUCGGGGGCGACCCUGCCGUUUCGACGGCGAGCGCCCCCGGAGGCCUUCAAACACUGCAUCUUUGCGUCGGAGUUUAAGUAAAUUAAACAAACCUUUCAACAACGGAUCUCUUGGUUCUGGCAUCGAUGAAAAACGCCAGC